rnacentral:rRNA from 1 species
AGAGUUUGAUCAUGGCUCAGAUUGAACGCUGGCGGCAGGCCUAACACAUGCAAGUCGAGCGGAUGGGAAGAGCUUGCUCUUCGAUUCAGCGGCGGACGGGUGAGUAAUGCCUAGGAAUCUGCCUGGUAGUGGGGGACAACGUUUCGAAAGGAACGCUAAUACCGCAUACGUCCUACGGGAGAAAGCAGGGGACCUUCGGGCCUUGCGCUAUCAGAUGAGCCUAGGUCGGAUUAGCUAGUUGGUGAGGUAAUGGCUCACCAAGGCGACGAUCCGUAACUGGUCUGAGAGGAUGAUCAGUCACACUGGAACUGAGACACGGUCCAGACUCCUACGGGAGGCAGCAGUGGGGAAUAUUGGACAAUGGGCGAAAGCCUGAUCCAGCCAUGCCGCGUGUGUGAAGAAGGUCUUCGGAUUGUAAAGCACUUUAAGUUGGGAGGAAGGGCAUUAACCUAAUACGUUAGUGUUUUGACGUUACCGACAGAAUAAGCACCGGCUAACUCUGUGCCAGCAGCCGCGGUAAUACAGAGGGUGCAAGCGUUAAUCGGAAUUACUGGGCGUAAAGCGCGCGUAGGUGGUUUGUUAAGUUGGAUGUGAAAGCCCCGGGCUCAACCUGGGAACUGCAUCCAAAACUGGCAAGCUAGAGUACGGUAGAGGGUGGUGGAAUUUCCUGUGUAGCGGUGAAAUGCGUAGAUAUAGGAAGGAACACCAGUGGCGAAGGCGACCACCUGGACUGAUACUGACACUGAGGUGCGAAGCGUGGGGAGCAAACAGGAUUAGAUACCCUGGUAGUCCACGCCGUA